CGGCGGGUGCUAACGUCCGUCGUGAAGAGGGAAACAACCCAGACCGCCAGCUAAGGUCCCAAAGUCACAGUUAAGUGGGAAACGAUGUGGGAAGGCACAGACAGCCAGGAUGUUGGCUUAGAAGCAGCCAUCAUUUAAAGAAAGCGUAAUAGCUCACUGGUCGAGUCGGCCUGCGCGGAAGAUGUAACGGGGCUAAACUGUGCACCGAAGCUGCGGCAGCGACACUAUGUGUUGUUGGGUAGGGGAGCGUUCUGUAAGCCUGCGAAGGUGGCCUGUGAGGGUUGCUGGAGGUAUCAGAAGUGCGAAUGCUGACAUAAGUAACGAUAAUGCGGGUGAAAAGCCCGCACGCCGGAAGACCAAGGGUUCCUGUCCAACGUUAAUCGGGGCAGGGUGAGUCGACCCCUAAGGCGAGGCCGAAAGGCGUAGUCGAUGGGAAACAGGUUAAUAUUCCUGUACUUGGUGUUACUGCGAAGGGGGGACGGAGAAGGCUAUGUUAGCCGGGCGACGGUUGUCCCGGUUUAAGCAUGUAGGCGGAGGU
rnacentral:rRNA from 1 species